CCCAUAAUGACCCAGACUCCGAGUUUCGUCACCACCACAAGGCAAGUUGUCAUUGACGAUCAGUUGUCCGAUGUACCUUAAUUUUUUGUACCCCGUCGCAGCAGAGCCAAGCCCCAGCUCAAUCUUUGAACGCUUCGCCGCGGAGUAGCAAAGGAUCGAUUCGCGAACUUGUAGAUUCACAGAUUUUACUUCACAGACAUUGCUUCAAUCUGUUACUUUGAUUUUCCAGAAGAUAUUCAAUGUCUGCAUCAAGAAUUGGAAAGCUUUUCGUGCUUGGAAUUUACCUCCAAUGGCGGUUUUGACUACUUGCCGAUACAUUACGAACUCUGGAGGCUUUGAUAUUGCACUUGCUUUUAUCAGUGCGGGCAUGAAGUCCUUCCACAGACGUUUGAUAAGAUGGAUCAACUGACUGCUGAAGAAGAUUGGAAUAAAUUCUACCAAGUAUUUUGUGGUGCAGUUGUUGACCAAUUUGCUGCAAUGGAUGCAAUUUUGAUUUGGAAAGAGCCCUUUGCACUUCAGAUAAUGAUGUUCUCAUGUUGGAAAAUGUCUUUGGGAACAUAUCUGCUUAUUGCUGCAGUGCAGGCUACAUCCAUAAGUUUUGGUUGGUCUUAUCCAAAAUAUUCAGAAAUUUUGGUCUUUCCAUUUAUAUGUGGUAGAACUCUAGAAAUACUCCCUCUCUCUCUCUCUCUCUCUCUCUCUCUCUCUCGUGUUUUUUUUUUUCAAAUUUAUUUAUUUUUAUAAUUAAUUGUAGUGGGAGAGUUGCAAAAACUAAUAAAAAACUUGGUCUCCAUAAUUACUCGUAUUUUUGCAUAGUUUUUCACUACCACAAUUGGCUUCUUAUUGCAACGACAAUCAUAAUGCAGGUGCUAGUUCAAUUUCUUUGAUAGCCAUUCCUGUUAGAUUCAGUUUUGGUGGUAUGAAAUCUUUUGUAAACUCGAUAAGGCUCCCACUUGAAAGGGCAAUGUUUUGAUUGCCCAAAACAUCUCUCUCUCUCUCUUUCUCUCUGUGUUGUUGUUGCUGUUGUUGUUGUUGAUAAAUUCUCACUUUUCUUUGUUACAUAAUUGCCCAAGAUGUCUCACACCAUUAGCAUUCUUCCAUAAGAAUAUCAUAUUGUUCCCUUUGGUUGUAUCCCCAUGAUGACAAAGUUCAUCUAUAUGGCAGCACACAAAGUUUACAUGAAUGAACCGGUGCAAAGAAUGCGUCCCAUAUAUUCUUAAUAAUUUCAGUGGCAAUGGCCAGGCAAUAUGGCCUCCCCAUACAUUUAGGUUUUCUGGAGAUGGAAAGAACUGCAUGGAGAACAACACCCAAUAUGUUACUACUGUUCUUGGUACCUUGUUAUUGGAAUAAAUGCUACCGUGUAACAUGUAGUAUGGCUUUAUAUAUAGUCUUUAAAUUUUUAUUUCUUUUUUUAUUUUAUUUUUGUGUGUGUGGUAAUAAAGGAGCAAUAUUAUAUAUAAUAGGAAAGAGUCAGUCACAUAUUUCUAGGGUAGUAAACAUCCCUAGCAUCUCAAAGAGUUGAUUACAAAUACAAGGAGGUGGGUGUUGAAAAGUAUGCAUUUCUUCAUUUGUUGGAGCUCCUCGAUUUGCUAGUAGAUCGGUGCAAGCAUUUGCCUCCCUAUAGAUAUGGUUAAUUUCCAUCACUCCUAGUUGAGCCAUGAGGGACAUGCAGUGAAAAUCUUGAUUUAAUUUCUGUCACUUGUAAAUUUCUGGUCCUUUCAACUUUUGAAGCAUUUUUUUUUUCUCCUUCAAAUAAACAGCCUUUUCUAAUUUGCAUUUCAUCAUGGCUUUUGUCUUCUUUGGCUUUUCACUUUUUUUCCGCAUUUGCUGAUAUUUGUGACAUUGCAUGUCCUUUGUUUUACUCAGUUACAUAUUUCUAGGGUAGUAAACAUCCCUAGCAUCAUCAAAGAGUUGAUUACAAAUGCAAGGAGGUGGGUGUUGAAAAGUAUGCAUUUCUUCAUUUGUUGGAGCUCCUUGAUUUGCUAGUAGAUCGGUGCAAGCAUUUGCCUCCCUAUAGAUAUGGUUAAUUUCCUUCACUCCUAGUUGAGCCAUGAGGGACGUGCAGUGAAAAUCUUGAUUUAACUUUGGUCACUUAUAAAUUUCUGGUCCUUUCAACUUUUGAAACAUUUUUCUUUUCUUUUCUUUUCUUUUUUUUCUUUUUUUCUUCAAAUAAACAGCCUUUUCUAAUUUGCAUUUCAUCAUGGCCUUUGUCUUCUUUGGCUUUUCACUUUUUUCCGCAUAUGCUGAUAUUUGUGACAUUGCAUGUGCUUGUUUUACUCACCUUUGCAUCUAUAACUCCACUUUCAUCUCCAUAAUGAGAAUCAAUGUGAAUAUUUGCAAGAUCUUUGAAUUACCCAUAAUUGAACAAAUAACUUUUUAUAUUUUAAAACUCCAGUAGAAAUGACCUUGUCCAAAAUAAAGGAAAUUUUAAUUUAAUGUACUAUUCGUCUUUUAUUGUGUGUGUAUUAUUUUAAGAAUUGACACAAUUUUUUAGUGUCCAAUAUCUUUUAUGCCAGGCACUCGAGAGAACAUGUUGGAUCGAUAUUUGGGUAUUAACCUUGUUGGGCCAAAACCAUUAGUUCAAUGAGUUAACUACCGAUAUGGACUUUCCAUAAAGAAAUUGGUCCAGCCAUCAGUUUUGAGAGUGCAAAUUGAUUCAUAUUCCCUGCAAAGGCUUUUUGCCCUCUUUUAGUACAUAUAUAUGUUAGGAUUUGAUGAGUGUGGUGGGCCAUGUGGAAGACGACUAGGGAGAAAGUACUUGAAGAUUAUGAGAAGAUUGUUGAGGCUGCUGCCAAACAAAUCAAAGGCUGCACAGAAUUUGAGAAAGGGGUCAUCAACGAAAAGAAAGACUCAGAAUUUUGCGAUUUGCAGGAACUGUGUUUGAUCAACGGUUGCUGAUGAGGGAUUCGCCGAUUCUACAACGGUUCACGUAGGUCGAUCUUGGGAGAUUAGAGAUCGGAAUCGUUCAUGGUGCACAGAUUUGAGUUGAAAUCCUAUGUCGAAAGAGGGAAGAGAAGCUUGCGGAGGCUUUGGAGGAUGAUAAAGUCAUGGAGAGGUAACGGUCGAGGACGGAGUCGACGGAGGGGUUGCCGAAGGCGAAGGUGCUGCCGGCGUUGGAGAAGGUGAUGACGGUGGCUUCGGUGCUGCACAAGUUGCAGAGCUCGCCGCUCUUCUUGAAGAGGCCAUCUGUGGAAAGAAAGAGAGUGGGGAAGAGAGUGGGUAUAAUAGUCAUAUAAAAUAUUUAAAUAAUAAAUUUAUCCUUUAUGCAAGACUUUAUAAUUAUGAGGGGGUUUAGAAAGUAUAAUUUUUUUCUUAGUUCUUUUAACAAUGAAAGGAAGGUAAAGGGAGUUUAUAGCCAAAUUUCCCUAUAUUUUGGGUUUUGUUAACGAGCUAUUUAUUGAGCGUUUGUUAAGAAUUAAAUAAUAUUAAAAAAUUUAAA